CAUUAAAGAAAACUAGGGGAUGUGCUGGCUAUUAAGCAUGUGCACUCUUCAACUCUUAUCCUAUCCACCUGUGCACACCCUGUAGGCAGAAAUGAGGAACAAAUUUUGUUCUUGGAACAAAAAGUGUUCUCCUGUUUCAUUGCCUAUGUUUUUACAUACACCAAGUAAAGUUGAAGCAUGUGAGAAAUAUAUUAUACAACUUUCAACAAUGGAUCUCUUGGUUCUCGCAUCGAUGAAGAACGCAGCGAAUUGCGAUAUGUAAUGUGAAUUGCAGAAUUCAGUGAAUCAUCGAAUCUUUGAACGCAUAUGGCACCCUCUCUUGAAAUAGGAGGGUAUGCCUGUUUGAGUGUCAUUAAACUCCUCAAUACCAUUUUACUGGUGCUGGAUGUUGAAGGUCUGCUGGUAAAUCCCAUCAUCAGCUCCUUUUAAAUACAUGAGCAGGACUACAUGCAACCAGCUCCAAUUUGAUAAGCUUGUUAUCUUUGUUGUUGCUGGGAAUGAAUAAUGUAAUUGUCUGCUACUAGUUGUCCUGACCUUGGGACUUGCCUAAUGGGCAACCAUUUGAACCCUUGACCUCAAAUCAGGUAGGACUACCC
rnacentral:rRNA from 1 species